GUGUGUCUCUGAAGAGUAACAACUCUAUGGGUCAACCAUUAACAUUUAGUGAAGACACAUGUCCUGGUAACAGUUCAGUCCAGCAGAGGAAAUCAUCUGAUUCAGAACUUCGUCGUGUGUCUCUGAAGAGUAACAACUCUAUGGGUCAACCAUUAACAUUUAGUGAAGACACAUGUCCUGGUAACAGUUCAGUCCAGCAGGG